rnacentral:rRNA from 1 species
AGUGAACGCUGGCGGUAGGCCUAACACAUGCAAGUCGAACGGCAGCACAGUAAGAGCUUGCUCUUACGGGUGGCGAGUGGCGGACGGGUGAGGAAUACAUCGGAAUCUACUUUUUCGUGGGGGAUAACGUAGGGAAACUUACGCUAAUACCGCAUACGACCUACGGGUGAAAGCAGGGGAUCUUCGGACCUUGCGCGAUUGAAUGAGCCGAUGUCGGAUUAGCUAGUUGGCGGGGUAAAGGCCCACCAAGGCGACGAUCCGUAGCUGGUCUGAGAGGAUGAUGAGCCACACUGGAACUGAGACACGGUCCAGACUCCGACGGGAGGCAGCAGUGGGGAAUAUUGGACAAUGGGCGCAAGCCUGAUCCAGCCAUACCGCGUGGGCGAAGAAGGCCUUCGGGUUGUAAAGCCCUUUUGUUGGGAAAGAAAAGCAGCAGGUUAAUACCCCGCUGUUCUGACGGUACCCAAAGAAUAAGCACCGGCUAACUUCGUG